UACGGAGAGUGCAAGCGUUGUCCGGAAUCACUGGGCGUAAAGGGCGCGUAGGCGGCUCAUGAAGGCUGUGGUGAAAGUCCGGGGCUCAACCUCGGAUCGGCCGUGGCGACUCGUGGGCUGGAGCACUGUAGAGGCGGGUGGAAUUCCGGGUGUAGCGGUGGAAUGCGUAGAGAUCCGGAAGAACACCAGUGGCGAAGGCGGCCCGCUGGGCAGUGGCUGACGCUGAGGCGCGGACAGCGUGGGGAGCAAACAGG
rnacentral:rRNA from 1 species